GUGUGUUUUAACAUUUAUAAGCCUCUCCAAAAACUCAAAAUGAAGACUAAACUCAUUUGAUUUGAGCCCAAAUUUUAUAUUUUCAUUCUUCUAUAUUUUUUAAUUCUCCUACAAAAAUAUUCACAUUCUAUAUUGAGGCCUGUUUAAACUAUGGAACUAAAGUUUACACGUAGAGAAUCUGCAGAAGUCAAUAUUCAAAACCCCACAAAAUUCAACCUCUUUAAUCUCAUCUAUAAGAUCUGCCAAUCCAGUUAAGUGCAGCCAAUUUUUGGCCUAUGGUUUCCUUUAUCGUUCAUCACGCUUUAACUCGAGAAAGUUGAGGGCUUAUUGUUGCUCAAGCUUUAAUAGCUUCCCCCAUGAAAAUGGUGUUCACAAGAGCAUAGAAUCAAAUCCUUCAAAGCAUCUUUUACCAUUAAAGGUUGAGUUCCUCGAUCCCACAUCGCUUGGAAUUUAUCCUGAGAUUGGCCCGAGAGAGACAAGAUUCGAAGGUUCACCAUCGAACAGAAAGCAAACAACAUGGGGAUCCAACAUUCGCUAAGGUUCAUAAAGAGAAAACAAGGGUGGAAAUUGGAUAGUUUCAUUGAUAACGCAAGUGAAUUUGCAUAUUCCUCGGUUAAAAAUGCCAUUUCUUCAUUACUUUUCAUAAUCAGAGAGAUUCAAACUACACACUGAUUAUUAGGGAAGGUUUUUAUUCCGAAGACUUGAUGGUCGUCAUAUCUAAAAUCCAACAAGACAUGACGUUAACCUUUGUAUGGUUGUUCCAACAUGUGUUUUCCAAAACGCCGACACUCAUGGUUUACGUCAUGCUUCUUUUGGCAAACUUUUCGAUUCAAUCAAUGAGGGUGUUGAAAAUUGGCCAACUAUACUGCUGUAAUAUUUUCGAAUGAAAUACAUGUUAGCAAUUAUGCAUUUUGUAGCAACAUAUUUUUUGUUUUAGUUGCAUAUAAUCCUUCAUGUAUUUCAAUCAAGGUACCGAA